rnacentral:rRNA from 1 species
GCAAGUCGAACGAGAAUCUGCGGAUCGAGGAUUCGUCCAAGUGAAGCAGAGGACAGUGGCGGACGGGUGAGUAACGCGUGAGGAACCUGCCUUUCAGAGGGGGACAACAGUUGGAAACGACUGCUAAUACCGCAUGAUACGUUUUAGGGGCAUCCCUGAGACGUCAAAGAUUUAUCGCUGAAAGAUGGCCUCGCGUCUGAUUAGCUGGUUGGUGAGGUAACGGCCCACCAAGGCGACGAUCAGUAGCCGGACUGAGAGGUUGACCGGCCACAUUGGGACUGAGAUACGGCCCAGACUCCUACGGGAGGCAGCAGUGGGGAAUAUUGGGCAACGGGCGCAAGCCUGACCCAGCAACGCCGCGUGAAGGAAGAAGGCUUUCGGGUUGUAAACUUCUUUUAAGAGGGAAGAGCAGAAGACUGUACCUCUAGAAUAAGCCACGGCUAACUACGUGCCAGCAGCCGCGGUAAUACGUAGGUGGCAAGCGUUGUCCGGAUUUACUGGGUGUAAAGGGCGUGCAGCCGGGAAUGCAAGUCAGAUGUGAAAUCCAUGGGCUUAACCCAUGAACUGCAUUUGAAACUGUAUUUCUUGAGUACUGGAGAGGCAAUCGGAAUUCCUAGUGUAGCGGUGAAAUGCGUAGAUAUUAGGAGGAACACCAGUGGCGAAGGCGGAUUGCUGGACAGCAACUGACGGUGAGGCGCGAAAGUGUGGGGAGCAAACAGGAUUAGAUACCCUGGUAGUCCACACUGUAAACGAUGAAUACUAGGUGUGCGGGGACUGACCCCCUGCGUGCCGCAGUUAACACAAUAA